rfam:Schistosoma haematobium scaffold6137_1, whole genome shotgun sequence.
ACUCAUCUGAAGAGUCACAAAUAGAACGAAAUAUACGUCCUGAAU